rnacentral:rRNA from 2 species
ACGACUCUCGGCAACGGAUAUCUCGGCUCUCGCAUCGAUGAAGAACGUAGCGAAAUGCGAUACUUGGUGUGAAUUGCAGAAUCCCGUGAACCAUCGAGUCUUUGAACGCAAGUUGCGCCCCAAGCCUUUGGCCGAGGGCACGUCUGCCUGGGUGUCACAAAUCGUCGUCCCCCCCAAUCCUUUUGGAUGA